UACGGAGGGUGCAAGCGUUAUCCGGAUUCACUGGGUUUAAAGGGUGCGUAGGUGGAUUGGUAAGUCAGUGGUGAAAUCUCUGGGCUUAACUCAGAAACUGCCAUUGAUACUAUCAGUCUUGAAUACCGUGGAGGUCAGCGGAAUAUGUCAUGUAGCGGUGAAAUGCUUAGAUAUGACAUAGAACACCAAUUGCGAAGGCAGCUGGCUACACGAAUAUUGACACUGAGGCACGAAAGCGUGGGGAUCAAACGGG
rnacentral:rRNA from 1 species